rnacentral:rRNA from 1 species
UACGUAGGGUGCGAGCGUUGUCCGGAAUUAUUGGGCGUAAAGAGCUCGUAGGCGGUGUGUCGCGUCGGUCGUGAAAACUUGGGGCUUAACCCCGAGCUUGCGGUCGAUACGGGCAUCACUGGAGUUCGGCAGGGGAGACUGGAAUUCCUGGUGUAGCGGUGAAAUGCGCAGAUAUCAGGAGGAACACCGGUGGCGAAGGCGGGUCUCUGGGCCGAUACUGACGCUGAGGAGCGAAAGCGUGGGGAGCGAACAGG